UCCCUGGUGGUCCAGUGGUUAAGAGUCUGCGCUCUUAAGGCAGGGGGCCCCGGUUCGAUCCCUGGUCAGGGAA